rnacentral:rRNA from 1 species
UCUGGUUGAUCCUGCCAGUAGUCAUAUGCUUGUCUCAAAGAUUAAGCCAUGCAUGUCUAAGUACAGACUUAUACAUAGUGAAACCGCGAAUGGCUCAUUAAAUCAGUUAUGGUUCCUUAGAUCCUACAAUCCUACUUGGAUAACUGUGGCAAUUCUAGAGCUAAUACAUGGCAAAACAGCUCCGACCUCACGGGAAGAGCGCUUUUAUUAGAACAAAACUAAUGGCGGUCGCAAGGCCGUCUCACCUUGGUGAUUCUGAAUAACUUUGUGCUGAUCGCAUGAGCUUGCCUCGGCGACGUAUCUUUCAAAUGUCUGCCCUAUCAACUUUCGAUGGUACGUGCUAUGCCUACCAUGGUUGUAACGGGUAACGGGGAAUCAGGGUUCGAUGCCGGAGAGGGAGCAUGAGAAACGGCUACCACAUCCAAGGAAGGCAGCAGGCGCGCAAAUUACCCACUCCUGGCACGGGGAGGUAGUGACGAAAAAUAACAAUACGGGACUCUUACGAGGCCCCGUAAUUGGAAUGAGUACACUUUAAACCUUUUAACGAGUAUCAAUUGGAAGGCAAGUCUGGUGCCAGCAACCGCGGUAGUUCCAGCUCCAAUAGCGUAUAUUAAAGUUGUUGCGUUUAAAAAGCUCGUAGUUGGAUCUCGGGUCCAGGCUUGACGGCCCCUCCUUGCACGUCACUGCUUGAUCCUGGGCUUACCUGACCGGUUUUUGCCCUUGGUGGUCUUUAUUGGAAUGCCCCGGGUGGGACGGAACGUUGAGAUUCAUAAGAAGAAAACACUAAAAAGAGAAGGAAGGAUUUGCGACGGGAUAGGACGGGAUCAAGUUAUGGAGUGGGCGAGAGAUAUGAGGGGGGAGGACCGAAGCUCGGCGGUGGGUUGAGCACUUGCGCAGUGAGAGAGGGGGCAAAGGACAGAUAGAGAAAGAAGUGUUUAUGAAGAAAGAGUUUGUGAAAAAAAAGAGAGAUAAACGGAGAUCGAAAAAACUGAGGAGGAAGUGACAGGGUAGGCUGGGAAGGGGAAAAGGGAGAGGGUGGCUGGCGAUGUGAUUUGCAUGCUAGACGAAAGGCUACACGGGAAGUUGGAAGUGGGUGGAGGAUAGAGUAGGAGAAGAGAGGGAAAAAGGGGAGGGGAGAAAAAGACGAAGAGAAAGGGAGCGAGAGUGGGAAAGGGAGAAGGGGUAGAAAGGGGGGUGGGCGAGAGAGGUAGUAAAGGAAGAUAGGAAAAGAUACAGAGGUUAAGCGAAAUGAGAAGGUUGUUUUGGCGAUG